AUACUCUGGUUUCUCUUCAGAUUGUAUAAAUCUUUCGCCUUUUACUAAAGAUUUCCGUGGAGAGUUUUUAAUUUAUUGAUUUUUAUUGAAUUUCAAAUAAAGUUAAAUAGACCAUA